rnacentral:tRNA from 1 species
GCGGAUGUGGCGGAACUGGUAGACGCCCUGGAUUUAGGUUCCAGUGCCGAAAGGCGUGGAGGUUCGAGUCCUCUCAUCCGCA